CCUACGGGUGGCAGCAGUGAGGAAUAUUGGUCAAUGGACGAGAGUCUGAACCAGCCAAGUAGCGUGAAGGAUGACUGCCCUCUGGGUUGUAAACUUCUUUUAUAAAGGAAUAAAACGAGGCACGUGUGCCUUUUUGCAUGUACUUUAUGAAUAAGGAUCGGCUAACUCCGUGCCAGCAGCCGCGGUAAUACGGAGGAUCCGAGCGUUAUCCGGAUUUAUUGUGUUUAAAGGGCGCGUAGAUGGGUUGUUAAGUCAGUCGUGAAAGUUUGCGGCUCAACCGUAAAAUUGCAAUUGAUACUGGCAGUCGUGAGUACAGUUGAGGUAAGCGGAAGUCGUGGUGUAGCGGUGAAAUGCUUAGAUAUCACGAAGAACCCCGAUUGCGAAGGCAGCUUACUAAACUGUGACUGACAUUGAUGCUCGAAAGUGUGGGUAUCAAACAGGAUUAGAUACCCGUGUAGUC
rnacentral:rRNA from 1 species